AACGAACGCUGGCGGCAGGCCUAACACAUGCAAGUCGAGCGCCCCGCAAGGGGAGCGGCGGACGGGUGAGUAACGCGUGGGAACGUACCCUUUGCUACGGAAUAGCCUCGGGAAACUGGGAGUAAUACCGUAUGUGCCCCUUCGGGGGAAAGAUUUAUCGGCAAAGGAUCGGCCCGCGUUGGAUUAGGUAGUUGGUGGGGUAAUGGCCUACCAAGCCGACGAUCCAUAGCUGGUUUGAGAGGAUGAUCAGCCACACUGGGACUGAGACACGGCCCAGACUCCUACGGGAGGCAGCAGUGGGGAAUCUUAGACAAUGGGGCGCAAGCCUGAUCUAGCCCGAUGCCGCGUGAGCGAUGAAGGCCUUAGGGUUGUAAAGCUCUUUCAGAUGGGAAGAUAAUGACGGUACCAUCAGAAGAAGCCCGGCUAACUCCGUGCCAGCAGCCGC
rnacentral:rRNA from 1 species